rnacentral:rRNA from 1 species
AAUUCAGUGAAUCAUCGAAUCUUUGAACGCACAUUGCGCCCUUUGGUAUUCCAAAGGGCAUGCCUGUUCGAGCGUCAUUUGUACCCUCAAGCUUUGCUUGGUGUUGGGCGUUUUUGUCUUUGGCCCGCCAAAGACUCGCCUUAAAAUGAUUGGCAGC